GAAUAUUGGGCAAUGGAAGAGAUUCUGACCCAGCCAUGCCGCGUGCAGGAAGAAGGCCUUCUGGGUUGUAAACUGCUUUUACCAGGGAAGAAAACGCCCCUGCGGGGGUAACUGACGGUACCUGGUGAAUAAGCACCGGCUAACUCCGUGCCAGCAGCCGCGGUAAUACGGAGGGUGCAAGCGUUGUCCGGAUUUAUUGGGUUUAAAGGGUGCGUAGGCGGCCCGUUAAGUCCGUGGUGAAAGCCUCCAGCUCAACUGGAGAACUGCCAUGGAUACUGGCGGGCUUGAGUACAGACGAGGUUGGCGGAAUUGAAGAUGUAGCGGUGAAAUGCAUAGAUAUCUUCAAGAACACCGAUUGCGUAGGCAGCUAACUAGGCUGUAACUGACGCUGAGGCACGAAAGCGUGGGGAGCGAACA
rnacentral:rRNA from 1 species